rnacentral:rRNA from 1 species
GCGGAGCAUGUUGUUUAAUUCGAAGCAACGCGAAGAACCUUACCAGGACUUGACAUCCUCAGAAUCUGUGAGAGAUACGGAAGUGCCUUGGGAACUGAGUGACAGGUGGUGCAUGGUUGUCGUCAGCUCGUGUCGUGAGAUGUUGGGUUAGUCCCGCAACGAGCGCAACCCCUAUGUUUAGUUGCCAGCAUUAAGUUGGGGACUCUAGACAGACUGCCGGUGAUAAACCGGAGGAAGGUGGGGACGACGUCAAAUCAUCAUGCUCCUUAUGUCCUGGGCUACAAACGUGCUACAAUGGCCAUUACAGAGGGCAGCCACUCCGCGAGGAGGAGCGAAACCCAAAGGUGGUCUCAGUUCGGAUUGGGGGCUGCAACCCGCCCCCAUGAAGUUGGAGUUGCUAGUAAUCGCGAAUCAGCAUGUCGCGGUGAAUGCGUUCCCGGGGAUUGUACACACCGCCCGUCACACCAUGGAAGUUAGUAGCACCCGAAGUCAGUGACCUAACCGCAAGGAAGGAGCUGCCUAAGGUGAGACUAGUGACUAGGGUGAAGUCGUAACAAGGUAGCCGUAUCGGAAGGUGCGGCUGGAUCACCUCCUUU